rnacentral:rRNA from 1 species
GUGGGGAAUAUUGCACAAUGGGGGAAACCCUGAUGCAGCAACGCCGCGUGAGUGAAGAAGUAUUUCGGUAUGUAAAGCUCUAUCAGCAGGGAAGAUAAUGACGGUACCUGACUAAGAAGCUCCGGCUAAAUACGUGCCAGCAGCCGCGGUAAUACGUAUGGAGCAAGCGUUAUCCGGAUUUACUGGGUGUAAAGGGUGCGUAGGUGGCAGUGCAAGUCAGAUGUGAAAGGCCGGGGCUCAACCCCGGAGCUGCAUUUGAAACUGCAUAGCUGGAGUACAGGAGAGGCAGGCGGAAUUCCUAGUGUAGCGGUGAAAUGCGUAGAUAUUAGGAGGAACACCAGUGGCGAAGGCGGCCUGCUGGACUGUUACUGACACUGAGGCACGAAAGCGUGGGGAGCAAACAGGAUUAGAAACCCCGGUAGUCC